GAUGAACGCUGGCGGCGUGCCUAAUACAUGCAAGUCGAGCGAACGGACGAGAAGCUUGCUUCUCUGAUGUUAGCGGCGGACGGGUGAGUAACACGUGGAUAACCUACCUAUAAGACUGGGAUAACUUCGGGAAACCGGAGCUAAUACCGGAUGAUAUUUUGAACCGCAUGGUUCAAAAGUGAAAGACGGUCUUGCUGUCACUUAUAGAUGGAUCCGCGCUGCAUUAGCUAGUUGGUAAGGUAACGGCUUACCAAGGCAACGAUGCAUAGCCGACCUGAGAGGGUGAUCGGCCACACUGGAACUGAGACACGGUCCAGACUCCUACGGGAGGCAGUAGUAGGGAAUCUUCCGCAAUGGGCGAAAGCCUGACGGAGCAACGCCGCGUGAGUGAUGAAGGUCUUCGGAUCGUAAAACUCUGUUAUUAGGGAAGAACAUAUGUGUAAGUAACUGUGCACAUCUUGACGGUACCUAAUCAGAAAGCCACGGCUAACUACGU
rnacentral:rRNA from 1 species